rnacentral:rRNA from 1 species
UACGAAGGGGGCUAGCGUUGCUCGGAAUCACUGGGCGUAAAGCGCACGUUGGCGGAUUGUUAAGUCAGGGGUGAAAUCCUGGAGCUCAACUCCAGAACUGCCUUUGAUACUGGCGAUCUCGAGUUCGGGAGAGGUGAGUGGAACUGCGAGUGUAGAGGUGAAAUUCGUAGAUAUUCGCAAGAACACCAGUGGCGAAGGCGGCUCACUGGCCCGAUACUGACGCUGAGGUGCGAAAGCGUGGGGAGCAAACAGG